CUCCGCGACCAUAGCGGGCGGGACCAACCUCUUCCCAUUCCGAACAGAGUCGUUAAACCGCCUGACGCCGAUGAUACCCGCAAGGGGAAAGUAGGUAUUGCGGGGG
rnacentral:rRNA from 1 species